rnacentral:rRNA from 1 species
UACGAAGGGUGCAAACGUUGCUCGGAAUUACUGGGCGUAAAGCGUGCGCAGGCGGUGAUGUAAGUCAGGUGUGAAAUCCCCGGGCUUAACCUGGGAACUGCAUUUGUGACUGCAUCGCUGGAGUGCGGCAGAGGGGGAUGGAACUCCGCGUGUAGCAGUGAAAUGCGUAGAUAUGCGGAGGAACACCGAUGGCGAAGGCAAUCCCCUGGGCCUGCACUGACGCUCAUGCACGAAAGCGUGGGGAGCAAACAGG